rnacentral:rRNA from 1 species
UACGUAGGGGCAAGCGGUUGUCCGGAAUCAUUGGGCGUAAAGCGCGCGUAGGCGGCCCGAUAAGUCUGCUGUGAAAGUCCAGGGCUCAACCCUGGAAUGCCGGUGGAUACUGUCGGGCUAGAGUUCGGAAGAGGCAAGUGGAAUUCCUGGUGUAGCGGUGGAAUGCGCAGAUAUCAAGGAAGAACACCCUGGCUAAGGCGGCUCUCUAGUACGGUACUGACGCGAGACGCGAAAGCGUGGGGAGCGAACAGG